rnacentral:tRNA from 1 species
GGCUGUGGCUCAGAGGUAGAGUGCUCACCUACCAUGUGUGAGGCACUGGGUUCGAUCCCCAGCACCA